rnacentral:rRNA from 1 species
AUGGGAGGGAAUAGAUUCUUGUUUGUUUUUGAGAGAGAGGCAAGGAGGAGGAAAGCGGUAGAGAAUGGACCUUGGACCUUUGGGAAAGAAUUACUAGUCAUGGAGGAGUUCGAUACGGCAAAGACCAUAGAUGAUUAUAAGUUUGAUAAAGUGCCAAUCUGGAUUAGGAUCUUUAACGUGCCGCUGGGUCUGAUGUGCAAAGAAUUGGCAGAAGAUAUGGGUGAGAAUAUUGGUGAUCUGAUAGAGGUGGACACAGGAGAGGAUGUGACAGCGGUUGCGCAAUGCUUGAGGGUCAAAGUGCGGAUCAUGGUGAAGGAACCUCUUAAGAGGGGAAUGUUCCUAGACGAUGAGGAGGAUGCCGAUGGGGACAUAGUGGUCAAGGCAAAGGGGGGAGAGGAGGAGGAAGAACCAAAAAUCUGGUGCCACUUUCAAUACGAGUUCCUCCCGGACUUAUGCUACACAUGCGGCAUCAUGGGGCAUAUUGACCGUGAAUGCAAGACAAAGUUGAAAAGGGGGGAGGUGGCUGAGUAUGGGAGAUGGCUACGUUACUUGCCAGAAGCAUAUCAGGGCGGUGAGGAGAGGGGGAGGCAGGCUAUGGAAUACAGUGGUGGAGCCAACAGAAGGAGGUACGGAUGGACCAAUAGCAGCGGCAGGUCAGGAAGCGAUGGUCCUUCUUGGAGGAAGAAUACAGAAGGGUCUGAGAGAGGCAGUGGGAAUGAACGCCAGAGGACUGAUGGGGAGGAGGUUACCAGCCCAUUAAAGAUCAAAAACAUGACCGGGGUAGCCCCAAGCAGGAGAACUGAUGUGGCGAAGCAGCUGGGGUUCCAGAGCGAUACAGGAAGUGGCGGACAGGUUAAAGGACCCCAAAUCAUACAAAAGGGAGCCUUAACUGUGGAGGUAGUGGAGGGGGGUCCAAAAGAAGGAGGGGGCUUGAUCAAAGGAGUGGGUCAGGUAAAAGGAGGGGAGAACGAAGUUAGUACCGAUGAAGCAAAAUCGGAGGCCGGUAAGGUGGGGGAGGGGGUACGAGGUCAAUCAGCAGAUACAAGUGGGCUGGCCGUUGUACAUAAUGCAGGUGAGAAGCAGAAUUCAAUGGGGAAAGGGGGGAGGUACAAGAAGAAAGGAAGGGAGGGAAGGGUUUUGGGGCAUGCAGAUAAUGUGCUCCUGGAGAAGAAGAGAGGUGGGGAUGACAUGGUGGUUGAGGAGCUAAACCCGGAGAGUAAGAAGAGCAAGUUAGAAGGGCACGGUGCAGAUGGUGUGGAGGUCACAAACAAUGCUAAAGUGGGGCUGUCGGAACAGCCCUGCGUGCCCCAAUGA